GGAAUAUGAUGAUGGAUACGGGACAGCUUACGAUGACCAGGGUUAUGACUCCUACGACACCAGUUACAGCAAUCAAGGACAGAACUCAGACCAUUAUUAUGAGUACGGACAGGAUAAUGGUGAGGAAUCAUACGAGUCAUACGGUCAGGAGGACUGGACAACUAAUCGUGGCAAGGCGCCAGCUGCACGGACGGCCAAGGGAGUGUACAGAGAGACGCCCUACUCCAGAUAUUGAACUGAUUAUACAACAACCUGCACAAUCCCUCAUGGAUGUGUCAUCAAGUAAUGGAUUUUAUACGGACGCUCCCUUCUUUUUAGAAUAAAAACACAAAGAAAACCAAACAAUAACACAGAGGAAAUGAUGAAGGUAAAGACCUUGAAAUCAAUCGUAAACAUGGGUUUUAAAAACGGAAGACCCUGGUAUGAUGUCAAGACUGUUUCCACUGGGAAUAAUGUGUAUAAUUUAGGUCAUCUACCCACUCCUAAACAAGUAGAUAUCUAAAUAUUCUGGACCCAGUUAUAGAGUGAUUGGUCAUUGGUAAUAUAUUAGUGAUUUAGUUGUAGAGAGGUGAAGUAUUGUAGAUAUUUUUGCCUGUCCCUUGCAAAUGAAACCUUUCCAAUCAGAAAAGAUCCUGAUAUAAAUAUUGUUGUUUUAUCUCCUUUUGUAAAUGAUAGUUCUUUAAUGUUAAAGGGCUUAUAAAAGCAUGGCGUGGAAUCAUUGUGGAUAGUGUCAACUGUUUUAUUCCUGUCUUAAAACGUGUAGAUGUGUGUUUCUGUUUAAUUUCCCCCAUUUAAUCAAUCUUCAAUCUCAGCUCUCAAUCCCUUCUUUUUUUGGUGUAAAAACCCUCAGUAAGAAAAAAUAAUCAAGAGCUGCAAGACAUUUUAGGUAAAGCCCUUAAUAAUUCAUUCCAAUCCAUAUAUUUUGGGGGGCUUUAAUACCUGAAAUGCUUUCAGACAUUGUAUAAAUCAGGUUCUUGAGACAUUAACAGAAAUAGUAUAUUAGCAUAUUAACAUUAUCCGCUUAUGUAAGCCCUUUACAUUGUUCUUCUUGGUUGAUGCUCAAUAAACUUUUGGAAAUAUA